rnacentral:rRNA from 1 species
GAUGAACGCUGGCGGCGUGCCUAAUACAUGCAAGUCGAGCGAACAGACGAGGAGCUUGCUCCUCUGACGUUAGCGGCGGACGGGUGAGUAACACGUGGAUAACCUACCUAUAAGACUGAGAUAACUUCGGGAAACCGGAGCUAAUACCGGAUAAUAUAUUGAACCGCAUGGUUCAAUAGUGAAAGACGGUUUUGCUGUCACUUAUAGAUGGAUCCGCGCCGCAUUAGCUAGUUGGUAAGGUAACGGCUUACCAAGGCAACGAUGCGUAGCCGACCUGAGAGGGUGAUCGGCCACACUGGAAGUGAGACACGGUCCAGACUCCUACGGGAGGCAGCAGUAGGGAAUCUUCCGCAAUGGGCGAAAGCAUGACGGAGCAACGCCGCGUGAGUGAUGAAGGUCUUCGGAUCGUAAAACUCUGUUAUUAGGGAAGAACAAAUGUGUAAGUAACUAUGCACGUCUUGACGGUACCUACACAGAAAGCCACGGCUAACUACGUG